AUUGAACGCUGGCGGCAUGCCUAACACAUGCAAGUCGAACGGCAGCGCGGGGAAGCUUGCUUUCCUGGCGGCGAGUGGCGGACGGGUGAGUAACGCGUAGGAAUCUACCCAGUAGAGUGAGACAACUCGGGGAAACUCGAGCUAAUACCGCAUACGCUCUACGGAGGAAAGGGGGCCUCUCCAUGGAAGCUCCUGCUAUUGGAUGAGCCUGCGUUGGAUUAGCUGGUUGGUGGGGUAAAGGCCUACCAAGGCGACGAUCCAUAGCUGGUCUGAGAGGACGAUCAGCCACACUGGACUGAGACACGGCCCAGACUCCUACGGGAGGCAGCAGUGGGGAAUAUUGGAGAAUGGGCGCAAGCCUGAUCCAGCAAUGCCGCGUGUGUGAAGAAGGCCUGCGGGUUGUAAAGCACUUUCAGUGGGGAGGAAAAGCCUUUGGUGAAUAGCCGAGGGUGUUGACAUUACCCACAGAAGAAGCACCGGCUAACUCCGUGCCAGCAGCCGCGGUAAUACGGAGGGUGCGAGCGUUAAUCGGAAUUACUGGGCGUAAAGUGUACGCAGGCGGUUAUGUCAGUCAGAUGUGAAAGCCCCGGGCUCAACCUGGGAACUGCAUUUGAUACUGCAUGGCUAGAGUUUGGUAGAGGAGAGUGGAAUUCCCGGUGUAGCGGUGAAAUGCGUAGAGAUCGGGAGGAACACCAGUGGCGAAGGCGGCUCUCUGGACCGAAACUGACGCUGAGGUACGAAAGCGUGGGUAGCAAACAGGAUUAGAUACCCUGGUAGUCCACGCUGUAAACGAUGAGAACUAGCCGUUGGGCCCAAUUAAGGGUUUAGUGGCGUAGCUAACGUGAUAAGUUCUCCGCCUGGGGAGUACGGCCGCAAGGUUAAAACUCAAAUGAAUUGACGGGGCCCGCACAAGCGGUGGAGCAUGUGGUUUAAUUCGAUGCAACGCGAAGAACCUUACCUGCCCUUGACAUCCUCGGACUUGUCAGAGAUGACUUGGUGCCUUCGGGAACCGAGAGACAGGUGCUGCAUGGCUGUCGUCAGCUCGUGUCGUGAGAUGUUGGGUUAAGUCCCGUAACGAGCGCAACCCUUAUCCUUAGUUGCCAGCGGUUAGGCCGGGAACUCUAAGGAGACUGCCGGUGAUAAACCGGAGGAAGGUGGGGACGACGUCAAGUCAUCAUGGCCCUUAUGGGCAGGGCUACACACGUGCUACAAUGGUUGGUACAGAGGGUCGCAAUACCGCGAGGUGGAGCCAAUCCUAUAAAGCCGGCCCCAGUUGGGAUUGCAGUCUGCAACUCGACUGCAUGAACUUGGAAUCGCUAGUAAUCGCGUAUCAGCAUGACGCGGUGAAUACGUUCCCGGGCCUUGUACACACCGCCCGUCACACCACGAAAGUUUGUUAUACCAGAAGUCGGUAAGCUAACCCUCGGGAGGCAGCCGCCUAAGGUAUGGCCAGCGAUUGGGGUG
rnacentral:rRNA from 1 species